CCGCCCCCGCACGCCCCCGCGGCGCUCAGGCCUCAAGUGCGUCGGGGCGGCAGGUUUCCGGAGUGACCGCGUGUUGGUCCCGUCCGUCUCCCGGCCACGCCCCAGCUCCCCUCCUCCGAAAACCGGUCUCGGCCUCGGGACACGCGCCGCAGUCCCUUCCCUCCGCGCCGCGCUCAGGCCGGUGACCUUGGGCUCUUCCUGGAUCCGCGACGUGCUGGACCCAAAGCCUUGGUCUCCGAGACGCGCAGCUCGGGGAUGGGAAUCCGAGGGACCUUUGACGGAGCCUCUUCCAUUCGUCCGUCCCGUCUCGGGGCCGCAGAGAACUUCUGUCCCUGCCGUCGGGUCUCUUCUGUGGGGAGACCCUGCGGUCCUCCGCGCGGGGCUGUCCUCAGCCUUCCUGUCCGGGGCGUUCUGCAGCGCGGCUGCCCGAGGAGGCCCUUCGGCCCGGGGCCGGCGGCCGGAGCCGGGGCCGGCGGAGGGAGGCCCGCAGCCAACCGUGUGCUCUGCGGCCUGGAGACCAGACGGCGGGGACUUCGGCGGGGACCCUCCGGCGAGCGGACGCGCACAGACGGCGUCUCCGUGUCCUGGCACCCCUGCCUUCGGACCGCGGAGUUCGGGGCUUCGUGACACACUCAGUCGGGCUUCCUGUUUGUUCCGUGACGUGUCUGUAGUGACCGUCGAGGUGUCCCCAGGGCUCCGCACCGUCUGGCCAGGUGGCACGCGCGCCCGUGCUGUCAGCCUCCCGGUCGGGGCCUGACUCCGGACGGUGCCCUUACCCGGACCCUCGCUCCUCCUGCAGGAUGACUCAGCCGCAGGGCUGGCGAGGACACUUGGUGUCCAAAGUAAGUGCGCGGGGUCCUGCUGGACAGAAUCCGGCGUGGCUAGAAAGUGAGAAUGAGCUGCCCUUUGAGAGAAAACACGUCCGGCAGGCUCGGAAGGCCUGCAGUGUGGCGCGGGACGCACAGAAGGCUCUUAACGUUUAUCAUCGUUCUCACGAGUCUCCUUAGAGAUCCCCGUUUGUAUCACGUGUGAGCGGCAUACUAAUGUCCAGACUGCAAGUCCUAGUAGAUGGCGACCAGCACUGCUUUACCGACGAAGGUUGAAAAGCCACCCGAAAUCCACAGAAUACCUAGGAUUCCUCAAUUCUGGAGAACCCGGAUACGUUCAGGCCAAGAGGACGUUCAGGCCGACCUUGUCCUACUGUCAUUGUUCAAGACGUGAAGAUAAUACAAGGUGUAGCUCCAGACAGCAAGGAAGAAGGCAUGUUUGCAUCAUCCCUCCAAAGGGGUCUUGGUCUCCGAGAGUGGAUUGCCCAGGCCUCCGGCCACUGGCUGCCAUUGGCUCCCCAGAAGCGAAGAGAACGCAAGAGGUUCCGUCAAAACAAGGCUCGAAGGUCAGUGGGUCCUUAUGAUUAUAUCUAAACAGCACAUCCUGGAGAUCCACGCAGGGCAGUCGGACGAGGGAAGCGCCAUGCGGGGCUCCCUUCUCCCUUCAAGCCGGCUGGGAACCACUUGCACGCGACAGAGCCAAGCUGCUCGGAGGAGGCGGCCCGGUGCCGGGCACCCGCGUAUCCAACAUCCCCUCCGCACUUUCUCUAUUCAUUGGAGAGAGAGUGUUUGCCUGAGCGGGAAGGGCAGGCGGAGAGGGACGGGCACCUCCGACUGCGUGGAGCCCUGAGCCGGAGGCGGGCUCCUUCUCACGACCUGAAAUCAGGACCUGAGCGGGAAAACCAAGAGGCAGAUGCUUAACCGACAGCUCCACUCUGGCGCCCCUUUUAUGAGGUUUCUUCCUGGAGUUUGCAGGAGAUCAAAGACUCAACUAGGACCAGAUCAUGAAAACCCCCAAAUUCUGCUUAAUCUUGGGUUGCACUAAAAAUGGUUUCACGGUGUGUUUCUGGAGGUCUUCUUUCAAGCCCUGCUGCCGGCAGAUGCAGCCUUGGAUGGGAUCUUCAGUUUGCUGGUGGAGGUUGGAGCUUCCUGCCCAGAGUGUGACACAUGUCCCCGUCUAAGCCCGCAGUCCUGGCACCGGGUCAUGUUCCUGAAUGUUGUGGUUUGCUGCUGGGGAGUGAACAAUAGGCCCGGAGGCUGGGGGUCGUCCUGCAGAGGCCGGGUCUGAGGACGGCACGUUUCGGGACGGAUGUAUUUGGGACCGCGAGAGUGGCUCCAUGGGGGUGGCCGUCAGCCGCAGCCAUGGCCUUCGGUCUCACUGUUCAGCGCGCCUGUGGGCCGGCCACAGCAUGUCCCAGACCUCCUCCUUCCUCUGCUGAGGGUGAGCAGGCUGGUCACGCCGGCCCUCGAGGGGCUGGAUGGACACUGGGGCGGCCGAGAUUUGGCGAGGGAAGGAGUUGGGAGUGAGGACACGCGGGUGUGUGUGUCCAAUUGGUCCGGGCCCGUCACUGCCCCUGGCCCCUGUCUGCAGCAACGGCUUCCAGCCAGUGCUCGGUUCCUAGAUGUCUAGAGGCUUCCCCAGCCCUACUAACACGCACAAAAGCUUUGUUGAGACAUAACUCACCUACAGUGUGAAGUGUCCCUCCUGUGGCUCUGGCGCAUCCCCAGAUGCAGGCAGCCAGCUGCACAGGCCAUCGAUCGGAGCACUGUCUCCAGCCCCAGAAGGCGCCUGCACCCCUUAGCAGCCCUUACACAGUGCCCAGUCCCUGGAGCCCUGGAAGCCACAGAUCUGCUUUCCGUCUUCACAGAGAAAUCUCUGUAAACAAAUCCUGCAACAUGCCAGCCAGCUCCUGGCCACACCCGUGCAAGCGGUCCGUCCACAAGCUCCCUGGCUCCACUCCUGUGCAUGCCCCCUCUUCCCGCCGGAACCCAGUGAUUCGGAGCAGGAAGGGGAGCUCCUGCUCGGGCUCUGGGCAGCAGCAGAGGGAGGCCUGACCGACGUUGGCAACCCCCGCACCGCCAGCGAUCCCAGGCAGGCAGAGAGUAACGCCACAGUGCAGGGACGUGGGUGACCCCGUGGCUCAGUCCCCGGGCCGAGGAGAAACCCCAGCAGCCGUAAUUCUCUCCUUGUGCUUCUUGAGCAAUGUGAGACCCCCGACGCCACUCAGAGCCUCUGUGCCCCCUUCCCCACCCGCCUCCGCGCCUCCCCCAGCGCCUUUCCCUCCAUCUCCAGGCCUUUCAGUGCCCUUCCAGCCCUGAAGCCCUGGGCACGCAGCACAGCGGGGGCCUCUCUGGUCUCACAGUCGCCGGAAUCCGUGAAGACCUGACCCUGCCCCCCUACACCCCUGCAGGCCACGGCCGCCCUGCGUCACUGCGUUUCCCGCGGCUGCGGAGUGGAAGGGAGAGGGCAGGUCCUGGGCCGCAUGGGAGGGGCGGGUGGAGAAGAGAAGCCCGUGGAGUGGGUGACAGAGCGGCAGAGAGGGAGAGCUCGGUGCAGACAGCACAGCUCCCGGCAUGGAGGAAGGAGGUGGGGCCGUGGGGCUGCUGGAGGAGGCCCUGCUGCGCGCUGCGGCGUCCGUCAGCAAGCCACGGCCUCCUGGGGGCCAGGGAGCCACAGGUCAGCUGUCUGGAGAGUGAAUGAAAGGGAGGAGGUAGAAGCGGGAAGUGUCACGUCUCUCUGUCCCGAGGUUUGCUUGUGACGGCGGCAGAGCUGGGCGACACAGGGUGGAGGGACCCGGCCUGGGAGGGGUGAACCAUGCUGGUGUUGGGGACAGAGCCAGGUCAGGGGAGAGAAGGCCAGGCGCUGCUCUGCUUCCCCUCUUUGCCAAGGCCACCAGGAGCCUCAGUGUGGAGCCAGGGAGGCCUGGGGGCAGAGCCAGCCUGGGUAUGGAGCGGGGGGCGGGGGGGGGCCGCAGCACGGGGCCACGGAUCUGAUGUUCCCAGCGCCCUUCCCCAGGCUCUUUCCCCGUCCUGAGGGUGUUUUCACUUUCUCUCCUUACUCACCAUCGUGUUUCGUAACCCGCAGGAUAAGACUGGUGAUCUGCUAGAGGAAAACACAGCGAGAAGUAUGAGGAGGAAGAAGCAAAGACUCUAGAAGACCAAAACCACAAAGACUUCAGUAAUGGGAGCCUGGAGCGCCUCUCAGUUCAGUGGCUCUAGGUGACACUGUGGUCCCCAAACUUCCUUUCUUAACAAAGACACUGAAUCACACACACACAGAGAAAGCUUAAUUUGUCAUCUGUUUAAGAAUGCAAAAAAAAAAAAAAAAAAAUUUCACAUAUUACAAACCAUCUCAAAUGGUUUUAAAAACGUUGGCCUUUAAGUAAGGAGUAGUAUUUAGGAAAGCGAAUUGUAUGAAACAGAUUACCGUUCAGUAAUGCCAACCAGUAAGCUGUCAGGACGGCGUUAAAGGCAUGACGUCUUUGCAGAGGUGUGGCCUCGGUGCUUGGGGGAAGCGGGGGGUAGGAGCCCAGGUGCUGGGGGGCUGCAGGACCCGCGCCCAGAAGCCGCCCUCCGCCCGCCCUCCCCACUCCCCCGGACCGGGGUUCCCUGGGCUACCCAGCCCCCUUAUCUAAAAACUGUUUUGUUUUGGAAUGGACUAGAAGCCCGUUGUUUUCAGUUGUGGUGCCGGUUUCGUACCGCGAUGGCCGAUGGAAGACCUUCCGGCUUGGCUCGGCUUGUCUUCUGGUCCAGAAUUUCCAGUUUCCAGGUGCGGAUCCACAGCCCUUCUACUCAGUCCCCGUGGCUCCGUGCCCCGAGCUCAGCGGCCUGCAACUGCCGCACUCACACCCAGAGCCGCGGGCUGGCCGAGCCGUGCCGGGCUGGCCAGGCCUGUCGUUGGCUUUCGCAUCUGUCACCUGAGCUCACUGCCCCUCCUUCCUGUUUCAGUGCUCCCUGGAGAGCCGAGGACCCUCCCAUGAGCUGAGGGGACACCUGGCCACGCCAGCAAGGCUCCGAGGGCCCACGUGGGGACCCUUCCCCCCUCAUUGGAGCCCGCCGGGCUAGCGGGCUGUCAGAAGGACACUGGUCAGCUUCUCCGGGCUGCUGGACGCUGCCGGGAAGUCCGGCACACACAGGGACUCUGUGUCCUCACGCGCCCCUCUCAGCCGUAGGACCCCCUCCUGGCAUCGAACAAGGAAGCUGCGCAAGAGCUCAGGUCACCGUUAGGGCAUGGAGUGAAGCUUCAGGUGGUGAGCUUCAAAGACGAAGGAGCCUCGUCACCAAGUUGGGCCAGACCCUCCCCCGGCAAGCGCACGUGCGGACUGGUUCGGUCGCAGGGAGGGUGGAGGUGAGCUCCUGUGCCCGGCAGCGGACUCACGUUCCUGUUGGAGCCCAGACACGAGGCGGGAGCUCUGCUUCACCUGGAUGCUAAGAAGCCCUUCACCUGGGGCGCCCGGGGGGCUCAGUGGGUUGAGUGUCUGCCUUUGGCUCGGGCCAUGACCCUGGAGGCCCAGGAUUGAUCCCUGAGUCGGGCUCCCUGCUCGGUGGGAAGCCCGCUGCUCCCGCUGCUUGUGAUCCCUCUCUCACUGUCUCAGUCGAAGAAAUAAAUAAAAUCUUUUUAAAA